UGGGGAAUUUUGGACAAUGGGCGAAAGCCUGAUCCAGCCAUGCCGCGUGAGUGAAGAAGGCCUUCGGGUUGUAAAGCUCUUUUAGUCGGAAAGAAAGAGUUGCAAUGAAUAAUUGUGAUUUAUGACGGUACCGACAGAAAAAGCACCGGCUAACUACGUGCCAGCAGCCGCGGUAAUACGUAGGGUGCGAGCGUUAAUCGGAAUUACUGGGCGUAAAGGGUGCGCAGGCGGUCUUGCAAGUCAGAUGUGAAAGCCCCGGGCUUAACCUGGGAAUUGCGUUUGAAACUACAAGGCUAGAGUGCAGCAGAGGGGAGUGGAAUUCCAUGUGUAGCAGUGAAAUGCGUAGAGAUGUGGAAAAACACCGAUGGCGAAGGCAGCUCCCUGGGUUGACACUGACGCUCAUGCACGAAAGCGUGGGGAGCAAACA
rnacentral:rRNA from 1 species